rnacentral:rRNA from 1 species
UACGUAGGGCGCAAGCGUUGUCCGGAAUUAUUGGGCGUAAAGAGCUCGUAGGCGGUUUGUCGCGUCUGCCGUGAAAGUCCGGGGCUCAACUCCGGAUCUGCGGUGGGUACGGGCAGACUAGAGUGAUGUAGGGGGAGACUGGAAUUCCUGGUGUAGCGGUGAAAUGCGCAGAUAUCAGGAAGAACACCCGUGGCGAAGGCGGCGCUCUGGAACAUUUCUGACGCUGAGGCUCGAAAGCGUGGGGAGCAAACAGG